rnacentral:rRNA from 1 species
GGACUACACGGGUAUCUAAUCCCGUUCGCUCCCCUGGCUUUCGCGUCUCAGCGUCAGGCGGGGUCCAGGAGCCCGCUUUCGCCACGGGCGUUCCUUCCGAUCUCAACGCAUUUCACCGCUCCACCGGAAGUUCCGGCUCCCCCUACCCCCCUCCAGGCCGGUCGUAUCGGUGCCCGUUCCCCGGUUGAGCCGGGGGCUUUCAGCAACCGACGUGCCGGCCCGCCUACACGCGCUUUAAGCCCAGUGAUUCCGAAUAACGUUCGCACGGUUCGUCUUACCGCGGCGGCUGGCAC